rnacentral:rRNA from 1 species
AGAGUUUGAUCAUGGCUCAGGAUGAACGCUGGCGGCGUGCCUAACACAUGCAAGUCGAGCGCGAAACUUAUGAAUGAUCCUUCGGGUGAAUGAAUAAGUGGAAAGCGGCGGACGGGUGAGUAACGCGUGGGUAACCUGCCCCAUACAAAGGGAUAGCCACUGGAAACGGUGAUUAAUACCAUAUAACACCAUAGUAUCGCAUGAUACAUUGGUCAAAGAUUUAUCGGUAUGGGAUGGACCCGCGUCUGAUUAGCUAGUUGGUAAGGUAACGGCUUACCAAGGCGACGAUCAGUAGCCGACCUGAGAGGGUGAUCGGCCACACUGGAACUGAGACACGGUCCAGACUCCUACGGGAGGCAGCAGUGGGGAAUAUUGCACAAUGGGCGCAAGCCUGAUGCAGCAACGCCGCGUGAGCGAUGAAGGCCUUCGGGUCGUAAAGCUCUGUCCUCAAGGAAGAAUAAAUGACGGUACUUGAGGAGGAAGCCCCGGCUAACUACGUGCCAGCAGCCGCGGUAAUACGUAGGGGGCAAGCGUUAUCCGGAAUCACUGGGCGUAAAGGGUGCGUAGGCGGUUCUUCAAGUCAGAAGUGAAAGGCAAUGGCUCAACCAUUGUAAGCUUUUGAAACUGUAGGACUUGAGUGCAGGAGAGGAAAGUGGAAUUCCUAGUGUAGAGGUGAAAUUCGUAGAUAUUAGGAGGAACA